AAAAUUUAGUUUUUUUGGGGUUAGAAUCUCGACGAUAGUGCAGUAAGUAGUUUUAUUCUAUUAGGCGAACAGUUUUUUUAAGGUUUGUAGUACAAUUUUGAAUGCUUGUGAAUUAACUUUUGGACUAGAAACGCAUGCAAAUUUUCAUACUUGGCUGGGAAAAGUCACUUAAAAUCAAUUAUAUGAUGAUUGUUAAUUCCAACGUAUACAACGUAUAGUCGUGUUAAGGGAAUUUUCUGUAUGAGAUCAUUGUCAAUUGAGAUUGAAUAAUAAUGUGAAGGUCAGUUAAGGGAAUGUGGAGAAAUUUUCUUUGUGAUUGUCUUAUUCCUAUUAUUGAUCAAUGUUGUAAGCAAAAUGUUGAGGAUCAAUUGGUUGGCAUUUCAACAGUUUAUUCUGCAAGUUUGUUCUUCUCUCCAUGAUGCUGCAAUUCCUGUUGGAGGAUUCGUGACAAUGGGUUUGCAACACCGAUAUUAUUGAGGGGGUGAUUAAUUUGUGUUUCUAGAAGUAAUCCUCCAUAGCAUAAGCAAUUACAUGUGCUAUGUAACCUGUUAGCUAUGGUGUUGGAAUGAUAUUGUAUAUUUAUUGAAAACUGGCUGACUGAUACUUUACAACAUGGCAAGUUGUUUCACUCUUAUUAGUUGAACCUGCCACAUGUCAAAGGUUGGAAGAAUAUAUUAAAGUUAGUGUCUUUUUCACUAUUUGAAGGUAAGUUUGUACAGAGUAAUAUUAUCAGUAAUUGGGUGAUUUGAACCCUAUGUAAAUUUUCAGAUUGUUGUUUAUUUCUGCUGUUAUUGUUUAAAAGGUUAUAGGUGAUCAGGUAGUUAAAUCAAUUAGGUAGUUACUGUGAUUUGCUUUCUAAAAUUGAAUCAUGUUGUGAAGUGUAGUUAUUGGUUGGGGGAGAAACUUACUUUGUUCUGACCUGAUAGUUAUUUUGACAACUCUUAAUGUAGGGUGAUUGGAGAGGCCUUAGUUGAUUGUAAAAAUUUUGAAAUUGGCCUGUGGAAUGUUAAUGUUGAAGGUGUUGAAUUGGUGAAUGAAUUGUUUAAUAGGGUAGUCCUCCAUUGCAUUUCCCUGUGCUAUCAGAUCUGCAAUUCCUAGUUAUGUAACAAUAUCCAAAUGAAAUAGCAGAUGAGUAGAACCGAAACUUAAAGCGCAAGCAACCUAAUGCCAUGCUUUACAGUGUUAGCUGAGCUAAAUAUGUCAAAGAUUUCAAACAUUGGUUCUGUGGAUUGAAUUAGCAUUUCACUUUUGUGGGUAAUUUAAUUUUAAAAUUUAAUUCUAAAUCUCUGAAAAAUGUGACAGGUCAAGUAAAUUGUCAUUUAUUGAAGAUGCCUUUUUCUCAGGGUUGGAAUGACGAACGAGUUGGCAAGUUGUGCAAG